GACAGAGGGUGCAAACGUUGUUCGGAAUUACUGGGCGUAAAGCGCGUGUAGGCUGCUUCGCAAGUCGGGUGUGAAAGCCCUGGGCUCAACCUAGGAAGUGCACUCGAAACUGCGAAGCUUGAGUCCUGGAGAGGAAGGCGGAAUUCUCGGUGUAGAGGUGAAAUUCGUAGAUAUCGAGAGGAACACCGGUGGCGAAGGCGGCUCACUGGCCCGAUACUGACGCUGAGGCACGAAAGCGUGGGGAGCAAACAGG
rnacentral:rRNA from 1 species